rfam:Hordeum vulgare subsp. vulgare, WGS project CAJW01000000 data, contig: morex_contig_2548395
CAUUUACUCCCUCUGAUCGAUAUUACUUGUCCUAUUUGUCUAGAUACGGAUGUAUCUAACACUAAAACGUGUCUAGAUACAUCCGUAUCUAGAAAACCUAAGACAAGUAAUAUGGAUCGGAGGGAGUACAAU